rnacentral:rRNA from 1 species
UACAGAGGGUGCAAGCGUUAAUCGGAAUUACUGGGCGUAAAGCGUGCGUAGUCGGUUAUUUAAGUCGGGUGUGAAGGCCCCGGGCUCAACCUGGGAAUUGCAUUCGAUACUGGAUAGCUAGAGUUCGGCAGAGGGAAGCGGAAUUUCCGGUGUAGCGGUGAAAUGCGUAGAUAUCGGAAGGAACAUCAGUGGCGAAAGCGGCUUCCUGGACCAGAACUGACGAUCAGGCACGAAAGCGUGGGGAGCAAACAGG